UUUUGGCGAGGUGCCUUCCGAGUUCCCUGGAACGGGACGCCAUASAGGGUGAGAGCCCCGUACGGUAGGACCACCAAGCCUCUGUAAAGCUCCUUCGACGAGUCGAGUAGUUUGGGAAUGCUGCUCUAAAUGGGAGGUGUACGUCUUCUAAAGCUAAAUACCGGCCAGAGACCGAUAGCGCACAAGUAGAGUGAUCGAAAGAUGAAAAGCACUUUGAAAAGAGGGUUAAAAAGUACGUGAAAUUGYUGAAAGGGAAGCAUUCAUGMCCAGACUUGGGCUUGGUUGAACAUCCGGCGUUCUCGCCGGUGCACUCUGCCAGUCCAGGCCAGCAUCAGUUUGCCCCGGGGGAUAAAGGCGGCGGGAAUGUGGCUCCCUUCGGGGAGUGUUAUAGCCCGUCGUGUAAUGCCCUGGGGCGGACUGAGGAACGCGCUUYGGCACGGAUGCUGGMKUAAUGGUCAUCAAUGAYCCGUCUUGAAACACGGACCAAGGAGUCGUCUUYGUAUGCGAGUGUUCGGGUGUCAAACCCCUACGCGUAAUGAAAGUGAACGUAGGUGAGAGCUUCGGCGCAUCACCGACCGAUCCUGAUGUUCUCGGAUGGAUUUGAGUAAGAGCAUACGGGGCCGGACCCGAAAGAAGGUGAACUAUGCCUGUAUAGGGUGAAGCCAGAGGAAACUCUGGUGGAGGCUCGCAGCGGUUCUGACGUGCAAAUCGAUCSUCAAAUAUGGGCAUGGGGCGAAAGACUAAUCGAACCUUCUAGU
rnacentral:rRNA from 1 species